rnacentral:rRNA from 1 species
UACGGAGGAUGCAAGCGUUAUCCGGAAUGAUUGGGCGUAAAGCGUCCGCAAGUGGCUAUGUAAGUCUGCUGUUAAAGAGUCUAGCUCAACUAGAUAAGAGCAGUGGAAACUACAUGGCUAGAGUGCGUUCGGGGCAGAGGGAAUUCCUGGUGUAGCGGUGAAAUGCGCAGAUAUCAGGAGGAACACCAGUUGGCGAAGGCAGGCUCGUGGGCGUAACUGACGCUGGAGACGAGAAGCGUGGGGAGCAAACAGG